rnacentral:misc_RNA from 1 species
UUUUUUGAAAGGGUGCUUUUAUGAGAUAGAGCUUUUUUAGAUAAUGCUUUUUUAGAUAAUGCUGGGGAAGGUUUUCCGGUUUAUCUCGGAGGGCUUGUAGCUCAGUUGGUUAGAGCGCGCGCUUGAUAAGCGUGAGGUCGGAGGUUCAAGUCCUCCCAGGCCCACCAAUUUACCUAUCCAUUUGCCUUUAUCCGUUUAUUUGCCGAUUUAUCGGUCCAUUGAAUUUAAGUGUUGGUAGCAGUUUUAUAAUGAUGAGAAAUCAUGCUUAUAAAAGAAUUCCUUAUAAAAGGCUUGUUUUUAAAAUGUGACGCUUAUCCAUUUCGCUUAGGCAAGAGAAACUUCAAGCGGUUCAAAUACAAAAGGCUUUAAGUUUUGCAAAACACUUUGAAUUUUGCAAAACACUUUGAAUUUUAAAGUGAUCCAAGUUCGUGAUCUCGAAUUUAAAAGUUUCGAAUGCUUUAUCCUUUUUUGGGGGCCGUAGCUCAGCUGGGAGAGCACCUGCUUUGCAAGCAGGGGG